rnacentral:ncRNA from 2 species
AUUAAUUACAUAUGAGAAUCAUGUAUAACUCCAAGAAUAUGGCUUGGGGGUCUCUACCAGGAACCAAUAACUCCUGACUACAAAAUGCGUAUUAUAGCGU